ensembl:lncRNA
GUCAAGAAAAUGUUCACAUAGACUUUAUUUGUGGCACUGUGUUUCAGGGUAAUAACCCUACAGAUGUAUUUUCAAUUAUUUGCAUUAAGGUUGCGUUUUUUUACACAUUUUUUAAAAAUCUGGGUUGGAAGCAACUAGAUAAUGGCAGCAAAGAAAUUAGCUAUUUCACUGUGCUGUAUAAAAGCAACUGACAUUUUUUCAGCACUUACUGUAUCAAGGCAAUGUCUCACAACUGCCUUCUAAGUCAUUGAUAUCAUCCUCAUUUAUACACAUAGGGAAACAGACACAGUACCAUUAAGGAAAUCGGCCAAGAUCUCUUAGGUGUAGUAAGUGGCAGAACCAGGAUUUAAACCCAGACAUCUGGCUCCAGAACCGACGUACUGAGCUGGUACACUUCUCUUCCUCACUAUAUCUUGUGUGAUCCCUUUGAAACAACCUGGUAAUUGCCAGGCUCUCUGAAAGAAGGCCAUUAGAAUAGCAAAUGGCAGAAUGCCUCUUGAUUGAGUAUUAAAAAUAUACCCAUUAGAAGAUAUUUACAGGACAGUUAAACUGUGAGCUACUAGCCUUGAUCAAAUUAUUCUCAUCUCAGGUCAUCACUUAAUGAUCCUUGGUGAUCUCAAAUGGCUGUAGACAAUACUCUGAUUUUGGAGCCAUGCUGGUUUAAUCAAGUGAGUGUGCCAUAUCUGUUUGUCCAUAUACGUUCUGCCACUCCAUCCAUCCAUCUAGAGAAUUCUUCAUCUUCUUAUGACAUACACUUGCUUGAGUGUGUACAUGCUCUGCUGCUGCUGCUAAGUCGCUUCAAGUCAGAUAUGACUGAAGCUACCUAGCAUGUAGCAGACACGGAUUUUGGAGAACAGGUCAUUGGUCUCUCUUUAUUUGAGUUGCUAUCAGGGAAGGCUUUAGUGAGGAAGUGACAGUUGAGAGAUCUGAAAAGAUGGUUACCAGAAGAUAAACUGGAGAGGGAGGAGUAUUCUAGUGGAGGGAAGCUAUAGAGUAGAAGCCCUGGGGCA